rnacentral:rRNA from 1 species
GGAUAACCUGCCCUUGGGUCCGGCAUAACCCCGGGAAACUGGGGAUAAUUCCGGAUAACGCAUAUCUGCUGGAAUGCUUUAUGCGUAAAAUGGAUUCGUCCGCCCAAGGAUGGGUCUGCGGCCUAUCAGGUAGUAGUGGGUGUAAUGUACCUACUAGCCAGCGACGGGUACGGGUUGUGAGAGCAAGAGCCCGGAGAUGGAUUCUGAGACAUGAAUCCAGGCCCUACGGGGCGCAGCAGGCGCGAAAACUUUACAAUGCGGGAAACCGUGAUAAGGGGACACCGAGUGUCAGCAUCAUAUGCUGGCUGUCCAGGUGUGUAAAAUACACCUGUUAGCAAGGGCCGGGCAAGACCGGUGCCAGCCGCCGCGGUAACACCGGCGGCCCGAGUGGUGAUCGUGAUUAUUGGGUCUAAAGGGUCCGUAGCCGGUUUGGUCAGUCCUCCGGGAAAUCUGAUGGCUCAACCAUUAGGCUUUCGGGGGAUACUGCCAGGCUUGGAACCGGGAGAGGUAAGAGGUACUACAGGGGUAGGAGUGAAAUCUUGUAAUCCCUGUGGGACCACCUGUGGCGAAGGCGUCUUACCAGAACGGGUUCGACGGUGAGGGACGAAAGCUGGGGGCACGAACCGGAUUAGAUACCCGGGUAGUCCCAGCCGUAAACGAUGCUCGCUAGGUGUCAGGCAUGGCGCGACCGUGUCUGGUGCCGCAGGGAAGCCGUGAAGCGAGCCACCUGGGAAGUACGGCCGCAAGGCUGAAACUUAA